GAGCGCAGGCGGUUGGAAUAGUCUGAUGUGAAAGCCCACGGCUUAACCGUGGAAGGUCAUUGGAAACUGUCCAACUUGAAUGCAGAAGAGGUAAGUGGAAUUCCAUGUGUAGCGGUGAAAUGCGUAGAUAUAUGGAGGAACACCAGUGGCGAAGGCGACUUACUGGUCUGUGAUUGACGCUGAGGCUCGAAAGCGUGGGUAGCGAACAGGAUUAGAUACCCUGGUAGUCCACGCCGUAAACGAUGAGUGCUAAGUGUUGGAGGGUUUCCGCCCUUCAGUGCUGGAGUUAACGCAUUAAGCACUCCGCCUGGGGAGUACGGCCGCAAGGCUGAAACUCAAAGGAAUUGACGGGGACCCGCACAAGCGGUGGAGCAUGUGGUUUAAUUCGACGCAACGCGAAGAACCUUACCAGCUCUUGACAUCUUCUGUUCACUCUAGAGAUAGAGCUUCCCCUUCGGGGGCAGAAUGACAGGUGGUGCAUGGUUGUCGUCAGCUCGUGUCGUGAGAUGUUGGGUUAAGUCCCAUAACGAGCGCAACCCUUAUUGUUAGUUGCCAGCAUUCAGUUGGGCACUCUAGCGAGACUGCCGGUGAUAAACCGGAGGAAGGUGGGGAUGACGUCAAAUCAUCAUGCCCCUUAUGAGCUGGGCUACACACGUGCUACAAUGGACGGUACAACGGGUAGCGAGGGCGCGAGCCUUAGCAAAUCCUAAUAAGCCGUUCUCAGUUCGGAUUGUUCUCUGCAACUCGAGAGCAUGAAGCCGGAAUCG
rnacentral:rRNA from 1 species